CCUGCCGCCACCCCAACUCACCCACUCCCCCUCCCCUCGGUCCCCCAGAUCCAUCCUCGCGCUUGGUCGCGCCACCCUCCUUCCCGAGCCGCGCCUUCAUCCUCUCCUCUCCCGCAACCCCAACCCGGCCCCGCCGCCGAUCUCCACUCCCCCAACCUCAGCCCAGCCCCGCUGGCGACCUCCUCCCCCACUCCUCGACUGCCCGGUGACAUCCUCUACUUCAUACCCGCCGGCGACCUCCGCCUUCGACUCCACCCUCUCCUUCUCUCCACGCUGAAACCCUAGGUCGAUGCCAUGGCCACAUCGCAGGUGGCGCGCGCGGGAGGAGCCCAUCCAUGGCGACACCGAUCGUCUGGUCAAGGAGGACGCCAUGGACAAGCCCGAUGUCAUGGCGACCUCGCACGCAGCACAGGAGGAAGCCAGACAUGGCGACAACCGACAGCCUUUCAGAUCUCAUCGACUUCCGCCCACGAUGGAGGACUGGGGUGUGAUUUUUGCAGGCCUUGGACAAGAUCAGGUUCGAGAACCUCACGGACAAGAGUAAGCUCGAUGCGCAUCCUGAGCUCUUCAUCCACAUCAUCCCCGACAAGGCGACCACCACGCUCACGAUCGUCGACGCGGCAUUGGCAUGACCAAGUCGGACCUCGUCAACAACCUCGGGACCAUCGCGCAUAAGCUAAACUCUGUUAUUUAUGUCUGCCCUGCAUAAGCUAAACUAUGUUAGUUCCAUGAUCAACUUGUAUAUGCAGUCCAAGCCUUCUAAAAUGAUUGCCUUUAUUGUCCAUGUCUUGAUGUGAUUUGUUCUUAAAAUGGUUUGCUAGAUAGAUCCAUGCCUUGUAUGUUCUGUGUUCUUUACUAUAUUGUUUUGGCCUAGGGCAAUUAAACAUUGUAUCUGUUUUUAGUGUGAUAUGCAACUCUUCAAAAAACGAAAUUGUAUUAUGGAAUUGCUCAUCUGCAUGGAAUUUCUAUGUAUUCUAGUAGAUUAUUUUUUAUACUAUAUUGCUGUAUUCCCGAUCUGCGUGGGAGCCGAUGCUCGGUUUGUUCUUGUUUCUGUUUCAGUACUAGUACAAUGUAAUGAUUUCGUUCUUUCAUGAAGUAUUUUGCACUGUUUUUAUCUGUCGAGCAAUUUAGAAGACCUGUAGAGCAUUUAACUAGACAGUUGAAUUUGCAUGUGCAACUAUGCUUGCUUAGAGCAGCCCUUGACUGGUUACAUUAUUGCGAUGGCCUGUGCUGUUCUUAGUUGUGCUACAGUAUGUGGUCUGUGUUGUUUGCACUUGUUAGCCAAAUCAUUGCACACGCAGUGUCAAUGCGAUGUUGCGGGUUUGUGACCUAGGAUUUCAGCCAAGUUCCUGUUUGUACAAAGUAUCUGCUACAUGUUGUUUUCAUCUUGAUAGCUAGCAGCCUAGCACCACUUUGAUUGUGAAAUCUUUGUAUGCUGUAAAACUAAUUGGGUCAGUCUUGAAUUUGUUGUGAAUUGUAAGAUGCUUCAAGUAAAUGUUUUUUUGCCUUCUCGCGUGUAGGCGGUCAGGCGGGACAACAAGUAGAGGUUCAGUCUGUUGCUCAUUUGGGCUAACCAGCGGCACACUGUGGCAGUAUGUUUUCUGCACGAACUCCCCUGCACUAAUGUAUUCUGUUUUUACAAGGAAGAUUUAAGAUGUGUUUAUACUCUUCAUGAUCAUCUGCCAUGUAGUAAUCGUUAUUUUUUGUAACUUCUAAAAGCAUUGUACUAGAUGAAUUUGUGUUAUCAUUCUAUAAAGAACUUACUUUUUAUUGAAUGGUCUCUUCAUAAUAUAUUGGCUCCAGUUUUCUGAUUCUUCUUUGCUGAUUCAUG